AUCUUUGCGCUUGGCGCAAUGAUGCAGCUAAUGAGGUUCUAACCGAGGCACGUGUACAGGUCUGUGCUGGUUGAAAACUGUUUCCAAACCCCCUCCUGGGCGUUGUUCAGCCUUGUGCCCUCCAGAAUUUCUGGAAAGGGUUCCCUUUGGGGUAAAGCCC